GUGCUCGCUUCAGCAGCACAUAUAAUAAAACUGAAACAAUACAGAGAAGAUUAGCAUGACCCCUGCACAAGAAUGACAUACAAAUUUUUGUUGAAAGUUAUCACCUUUCU
ensembl:snRNA U6 U6 spliceosomal RNA